rnacentral:rRNA from 1 species
AGAGUUUGAUCAUGGCUCAGAACGAACGCUGGCGGCAGGCUUAACACAUGCAAGUCGAACGCCCCGCAAGGGGAGUGGCAGACGGGUGAGUAACGCGUGGGAACGUACCCUUUACUACGGAAUAACUCAGGGAAACUUGUGCUAAUACCGUAUGUGCCCUUCGGGGGAAAGAUUUAUCGGUAAAGGAUCGGCCCGCGUUGGAUUAGCUAGUUGGUGGGGUAAAGGCCUACCAAGGCGACGAUCCAUAGCUGGUCUGAGAGGAUGAUCAGCCACAUUGGGACUGAGACACGGCCCAAACUCCUACGGGAGGCAGCAGUGGGGAAUAUUGGACAAUGGGCGCAAGCCUGAUCCAGCCAUGCCGCGUGGGUGAAGAAGGCCUUCGGGUUGUAAAGCCCUUUUGUUGGGAAAGAAAACCUUCCGGUUAAUACCCGGAGGGAAUGACGGUACCCAAAGAAUAAGCACCGGCUAACUUCGUGCCAGCAGCCGCGGUAAUA